GUAUUCACUUUUAUAUCACUAAUAUUAAAACUGAAACAAAAUAGAGAUGAUCACCAUGGCUCCUGAAUGAUGAUGACAUAAAAUUAACAAAGCAUUCCAUAUUUUU